AUGACUAUAAUUUUGAUCGCAAGUUGACAAUCUUGACCUAGAGUGCUUCCGAAGUGGGUUCAUUGAUUCUAGGUAUCAAAUACUGUUUUCAAAGGAGAAGAUGAUGGUGGUGGAGAAGCUCUCUUCCUUAUAAGGAAUCGAGGCCAGAGGUUU